rnacentral:misc_RNA from 1 species
GGAAGAUUGAAAGACGAAGAAGAAACUUCCAGAAGCUCAUAGAAAUGGUGUCGAUUGAACAAGUAGAAUCACCGGCGGCCGGUAAAACUUCGACGGCGGCAGAAGCACCGUCUGGUUACGUGUCGGAUGGAUACGAGACUGCGAGCGAUUCGGAACUGAAUGGAGCCGAGAAUGGAAGUAAUAGGGAAUCUGAGAACACGAUCAAUACAGCGUCGUCUUCAUCUGAUGGAGAUUUUUUGAAGGAGAAGACGCAGGAGCAGCAGCCUGAAGUAAAUCAGGAACAGUUGAAUGAGAAAGCAUUGGCUCAAGCAAAUGAUGCGAAAGUUGAAGGCAAUGCAUUGUUUAAGGAUGGGCUUUAUGAAGAGGCAUUGUCGAAAUAUGAGCUAGCUUUGCAAGUCGCAGCAGAUAUUCCUUCAAGUACUGAAAUUCGUUCAAUAUGCCAUGCUAAUCGAGCAGCUUGUUUCACCAAACUGGGGAAACAUGAGGAGACGAUCAAGGAAUGCACAAAAGCAUUAGAACUAAAUCCUACAUAUAUAAAGGCUCUGGUUAGAAGAGCAGAGGCACAUGAAAAGCUUGAACACUUUGAAGAGGCCAUUACUGACAUGACAAAAAUCUUGGAAUUGGAACCCUCACAUGACCAAGCUAGGAGAACUGUGAUACGUUUAAAGCCAUUAGCUGAUGAGAAGCGAGAAAAGAUGAAAGAGGAGAUGAUUGGCAAGCUCAAAGAAAUGGGAAAUUCCAUUUUGGGUCGAUUUGGUAUGAGCGUUGACAACUUCAAAACAGUUAAAGACCCAAACACCGGUUCCUACUCUGUUCAAUUUCAGAAGUGAUGAGGGUUUCUCUCAUGUUGGCGAAAUUUGCAUUUCUUGAAUGAAAGAUUUGAUCAAACAGGACACAUUUGGGUGUGCAUGUUUUGAACUAUGUAUCACGUUAUAGCUUUUGAAGUAUAUAAGUGUUGGCCAAAAACUUGAUAUUUUAGAUUUCUAUACUGUUAUAGAAGCAGAUGGCUUGUAGCCUUAGUGUCUUUGUGUCUUUAAUAUUGCAUGACUCGUGGUCAUUACAGACCAUCUUAUAUCUGUUGAACUCCAAUUAUCAUUUCACUGCUACUUGGUUUUUCGUUAAAGGUGUAUCUACAG